rnacentral:tRNA from 2 species
CUCAUCGACUCGCUGAGCGAGCAGCGCGCCGCCGCCGUGCUGCUGGUCGGUUCGACGCCGACCGACGAGG